GUGGUAGCCUAGUGGUUAUGGUUACGAAUUCACUAUUCUUUUCAAGUCGUAGGUUCGAGUCCUGAUAUCACCA